rnacentral:rRNA from 1 species
AUCAUCUACCUCGAGUCUGGACACCUCGGGAACUGAGACAAUCCGGAUAGUGAUGACGCUGGANGCCUCAUCACCCAAGCUCCGGCCUCGAGGAUGGACUGCGGCUAUCAGGCUGUGGUGGUGAACGGCCACCAACCUACGACGGGUAUGGGCAAUGAGAGUGGAGCCCAGAGAUGGGGCUGAGACAAGCCCCAGGCCCUACGGGGCGCAGCAGGCGCGGAAACUUCGCAAUGCGCGAAAGCGUGACGAGGGAGCCCCAAGUGCCGUUGGUCUUUUGACUGACGGCUUUUCGGGAGUCUAAGAAGCUCCCGGAAUAAGGGCUGGGCAAGUCUGGUGCCAGCCGCCGCGGUAAUACCAGCAGCCCAAGUGGUGGUCGCGUUUAUUGGGCCUAAAGCGCUCGUAGCCGGGCUUGCAAGUCCCUUGUGAAAUCGGACGGCUCAACCGUUCGGCGUGCAAGGGAUACUGCUGGCCUUGGGAUCGGGAGAGGUCGGGGGUACUCCGGGGGUAGCGGUGAAAUGCUGUAAUCCCUGGGGGACCACCAGUGGCGAAGGCGCCCGACCAUAACGGAUCCGACGGUGAGGGGCGAAGGCUAGGGGAGCGAACGGGAUUAGAUACCCCGGUAGUCCUAGCUGUAAAGGAUGCGGGCUGGGUGUCAGGCGCCCUUCGAGAGCGCCUAGUGCCGUAGGGAAGCCGUUAAGCCCGCCGCCUGGGAAGUACGGUCGCAAGGCUGAAACUUAAAGAAAUUGGCGGGGGAGCACUACAAGGGGUGGGACCUGCGGUUU